GCGAGAGUGGCCACUUAAAAGCACGCGAGGGCCGCUGUUUAAAACUUCAACGGUUCACGGUGCGCUGACUGCGCUCAGCGCUCGGGAGAACAACGAUUAUAUUGAAGCUAAAAGAAGAAAGGUGGUUUAUCACAUUGUCCAGGCCUGCGCAAUUCUCUGCCCGGAGAUUGUAUCAAAUCACCGUCAGACUGCCGUUAUAAACAAGAACAAAGAGAGCAGCUGAUGGAGAUGCUUCCGUUUUUCUGUGGAUAACUGUCUGGACUCUGGAGUGCAGCAUUACUUGUUUGGUCAUCAACAUUCAGAUGAAAACCCCACACUUCUCUCUAAUUCAAGCAAGUUUUAAGAUUUGAUUUAACUGUGAGAGAUUCCUUUCUUUUUCCUGUACUAGGUCUAAUAAAUGUUUCUCUGACUUGUAUCCCCGUCUUAAGAUGUCAAGCCUACUCAUCGCAAAGAGAGUUAGCAUCAAUGGAUGUGUCACUGACCAAUAACACAGAGAUGCCAGAAGUAUCUGUUUGCUGUCUACUUUUUGUUCAGUAUGGAGCAUCCAAAAGACAUCACUCAGUUAAUUUCAAUCAGCACUAUUUAGCCCUUCCCAGUGCUGAAAUUGUCAUGGGUCUUUGUUUUUAUUGUUAUGCUUAUCUGAAUGUAAAAUUAAUAUUUAAUGCUUAUAAAUGUAAAAACAAUACUUUUAGUUAGUCUUUUAGCUCCCUUUUCAGAAACAUGUGGUUCACCAUCUUUCAUGGGUUACAGAAUUGGGGAAAGUUGCAGCAUACAAAAAAAAAAAAAGUCAGACAACUUGGUUUCUAGGAGAAUGUGGAGUAAAUACUUGACAUUUAUUUAAGGUAAAGUGUAAUGACCUGGUGGUGAUAUGCAAAAUAAGAGUGUCAUUAAUAUACUUUUUGUUGUUUUGUGUGGUUUCUUAGCAAUCAACAUGUAUUUGUGACUGACAUGUUGGAUGGGUGAGUAAGGUGGAGGGGGUUGAAAAAACAAUAUUUCUAAAACAGAGAGUGCUA